CCAUUGCUGUGCUUGCCAAGAUCGAUCCAUCCUGGGGAAGGAAGUUCAUGUCUCAGGCCUACUCCAUGGUUGCCGAUUUCAUGACAUUGUCCCGCAAGUGCGGUGCGAGCUACACCAGGCUGAGGACCUUCGAUCUCUGGAAGCUGCAUUCCUGGGCCGGAGGACUGACGGAGUUCGGCGAUGGGCGCAACCAGGAGAGCACGAGCGAGGCUGUUAACGCUUACUACUCUGCUGCGCUCCUUGGACUGAGCUAUGGGGACACACACCUCGUCUCUGUCGGUGCGACGCUUACCGCGUUUGAGAUGCUGGCGGCGCAGACAUGGUGGCAUGUCCGGGAAGGAGAAGGGAUCUACGAGGAC
rnacentral:lncRNA from 1 species